rnacentral:rRNA from 1 species
AAAUACAACAGAACCUUCGGGUGACGUUGUAUGGAUCGAGCGGCGAACGGGUGAGUAACACGUGGGCAACCUGCCUACAAGACUGGGAUAACUCCGGGAAACCGGGGCUAAUACCGGAUAAUCCAUCGAACCGCAUGGUUCGGUGUUGAAAGAUGGCUUUUAGCUAUCACUUGUAGAUGGGCCCGCGGCGCAUUAGCUAGUUGGUAGGGUAAUGGCCUACCAAGGCAACGAUGCGUAGCCGACCUGAGAGGGUGAUCGGCCACACUGGGACUGAAACACGGCCCAGACUCCUACGGGAGGCAGCAGUAGGGAAUCUUCCGCAAUGGACGAAAGUCUGACGGAGCAACGCCGCGUGAACGAUGAAGGUUUUCGGAUCGUAAAGUUCUGUUGUUAGGGAAGAACAAGUACCGUUCGAAUAGGGCGGUACCUUGGCGGUACCUAACGAGAAAGCCCCGGCUAACUACGUGCCAGCAGCCGCGGUAAU